rnacentral:rRNA from 1 species
ACACGGAGGGAGCGAGCGUUAAUCGGAUUUACUGGGCGUAAAGCGCGCGUAGGCGGCUAAUUAAGUCAAAUGUGAAAUCCCCGAGCUUAACUUGGGAAUUGCAUUCGAUACUGGUUAGCUAGAGUGUGGGAGAGGAUGGUAGAAUUCCAGGUGUAGCGGUGAAAUGCGUAGAGAUCUGGAGGAAUACCGAUGGCGAAGGCAACCAUCUGGCCUAACACUGACGCUGAGGUGCGAAAGCAUGGGGAGCAAACAGGAUUAGAAACCCGAGUAGUCC